rnacentral:rRNA from 1 species
AAAGUGGGUUGUACUAGAAGUCUGCGGCCUGACCGGCUUUUUGAAAGAGAAGCUGGGAGGAGCGGCCCAAGGUAUGACUCAUGAUUGGGGUG